rnacentral:ncRNA from 1 species
UGAUCUCGUCUCAGUCAUGAUUAUCUGCAGAAUUUAAACAUAUAACUAAGCGAAGCAAUAAAAAAAAAAAUAACGAAGAUUUCCUUAGUAACGGCGAGUUAAAAAGAAAAAGCUCAGUGCUGAAUCCGAUAUUGGGCUAUAUGGAAAUUUAACGUAUAGGUAUAACUAACCGUAU